GGUUAAGCGACUAAGCGUACACGGUGGAUGCCCUGGCAGUCAGAGGCGAUGAAGGGCGUGCUAAUCUGCGAUAAGCGCCGGUAAGGUGAUAUGAACCGUUAUAACCGGCGAUACCCGAAUGGGGAAACCCAGUGUGAUUCGUCACACUAUCAUUAACUGAAUCCAUAGGUUAAUGAGGCGAACCGGGGAACUGAAACAUCUAAGUACCCCGAGGAAAAGAAAUCAACCGAGAUUCCCCCAGUAGCGGCGAGCGAACGGGGAGGAGCCCAGAGCCUGAAUCAGCAUGUGUGUUAGUGGAAGCGUCUGGAAAGGCGCGCGAUACAGGGUGACAGCCCCGUACACAAAAGCGCAUGUGCUGUGAGCUCGAUGAGUAGGGCGGGACACGUGGUAUCCUGUCUGAAUAUGGGGAAAAUUCAUCCUCCAAGGCUAAAUACUCCUGACUGACCGAUAGUGAACCAGUACCGUGAGGGAAAGGCGAAAAGAACCCCGGCGAGGGGAGUGAAAAAGAACCUGAAACCGUGUACGUACAAGCAGUGGGAGCCCCACCACCAAAGCAUUCUCUGGUGUUGAAGGCCCUGCAAAGCAGCAUCGCGGUGGCGGAGCGUCGUUUGCGACGCCCAACACACAAAACAAGCGGUGAGUGCUUUGGGGUGGGGUGACUGCGUACCUUUUGUAUAAUGGGUCAGCGACUUAUAUUCUGUAGCAAGGUUAACCGAAUAGGGGAGCCGGAGGGAAACCGAGUCUUAAUUGGGCGUUAAGUUGCAGGGUAUAGACCCGAAACCCGGUGAUCUAGCCAUGGGCAGGUUGAAGGUUGGGUAACACUAACUGGAGGACCGAACCGACUAAUGUUGAAAAAUUAGCGGAUGACCUGUGGCUGGGGGUGAAAGGCCAAUCAAACCGGGAGAUAGCUGGUUCUCCCCGAAAGCUAUUUAGGUAGCGCCUCGUGAAUUCAUCUCCGGGGGUAGAGCACUGUUUCGGCUAGGGGGCCAUCCCGGCUUACCAACCCGAUGCAAACUGCGAAUACCGGAGAAUGUUAUCACGGGAGACACACGGCGGGUGCUAACGUCCGUCGUGAAGAGGGAAACAACCCAGACCGCCAGCUAAGGUCCCAAAGUCAUGGUUAAGUGGGAAACGAUGUGGGAAGGCCCAGACAGCCAGGAUGUUGGCUUAGAAGCAGCCAUCAUUUAAAGAAAGCGUAAUAGCUCACUGGUCGAGUCGGCCUGCGCGGAAGAUGUAACGGGGCUAAACCAUGCACCGAAGCUGCGGCAGCGAACGUAUCACUUAAAGCGAUUCAGCGGGUUACGAUUGACGGAGCGAAGCGACGUCAAAGCGUAUACAAAGUCGAGUCGGUUUAAGGAUACGUUCGUUGGGUAGGGGAGCGUUCUGUAAGCCUGCGAAGGUGGCCUGUGAGGGUUGCUGGAGGUAUCAGAAGUGCGAAUGCUGACAUAAGUAACGAUAAAGCGGGUGAAAAGCCCGCUCGCCGGAAGACCAAGGGUUCCUGUCCAACGUUAAUCGGGGCAGGGUGAGUCGACCCCUAAGGCGAGGCCGAAAGGCGUAGUCGAUGGGAAACGGGUUAAUAUUCCCGUACUUGGUGUUACUGCGAAGGGGGGACGGAGAAGGCUAUGUUGGCCGGGCGACGGUUGUCCCGGUUUAAGCGUGUAGGUGUGUGUUCCAGGUAAAUCCGGUUCACUUUAACACUGAGGCGUGACGACGAGGCACUACGGUGCUGAAGCAACAAAUGCCCUGCUUCCAGGAAAAGCCUCUAAGCAUCAGGUAACAUCAAAUCGUACCCCAAACCGACACAGGUGGUCAGGUAGAGAAUACCAAGGCGCUUGAGAGAACUCGGGUGAAGGAACUAGGCAAAAUGGUGCCGUAACUUCGGGAGAAGGCACGCUGACACGUAGGUGAAGUGAUUUACUCACGGAGCUGAAGUCAGUCGAAGAUACCAGCUGGCUGCAACUGUUUAUUAAAAACACAGCACUGUGCAAACACGAAAGUGGACGUAUACGGUGUGACGCCUGCCCGGUGCCGGAAGGUUAAUUGAUGGGGUCAGCGCAAGCGAAGCUCCUGAUCGAAGCCCCGGUAAACGGCGGCCGUAACUAUAACUAGUCCUAAGGUAGCGAAAUUCCUUGUCGGGUAAGUUCCGACCUGCACGAAUGGCGUAAUGAUGGCCAGGCUGUCUCCACCCGAGACUCAGUGAAAUUGAACUCGCUGUGAAGAUGCAGUGUACCCGCGGCAAGACGGAAAGACCCCGUGAACCUUUACUAUAGCUUGACACUGAACAUUGAGCCUUGAUGUGUAGGAUAGGUGGGAGGCUUUGAAGUGUGGACGCCAGUCUGCAUGGAGCCGACCUUGAAAUACCACCCUUUAAUGUUUGAUGUUCUAACGUGCACCCGUGAUCCGGGUUGCGGACAGUGUCUGGUGGGUAGUUUGACUGGGGCGGUCUCCUCCUAAAGAGUAACGGAGGAGCACGAAGGUUGGCUAAUCCUGGUCGGACAUCAGGAGGUUAGUGCAAUGGCAUAAGCCAGCUUGACUGCGAGCGUGACGGCGCGAGCAGGUGCGAAAGCAGGUCAUAGUGAUCCGGUGGUUCUGAAUGGAAGGGCCAUCGCUCAACGGAUAAAAGGUACUCCGGGGAUAACAGGCUGAUACCGCCCAAGAGUUCAUAUCGACGGCGGUGUUUGGCACCUCGAUGUCGGCUCAUCACAUCCUGGGGCUGAAGUAGGUCCCAAGGGUAUGGCUGUUCGCCAUUUAAAGUGGUACGCGAGCUGGGUUUAGAACGUCGUGAGACAGUUCGGUCCCUAUCUGCCGUGGGCGCUGGAGAACUGAGGGGGCUGCUCCUAGUACGAGAGGACCGGAGUGGACGCAUCACUGGUGUUCGGGUUGUCAUGCCAAUGGCACUGCCCGGUAGCUAAAUGCGGAAGAGAUAAGUGCUGAAAGCAUCUAAGCACGAAACUUGCCCCGAGAUGAGUUCUCCCUGAGACUUAGAGUCUCCUGAAGGAACGUUGAAGACGACGACGUUGAUAGGCCGGGUGUGUAAGCGCAGCGAUGCGUUGAGCUAACCGGUACUAAUGAACCGUGAGGCUUAACCUU
rnacentral:rRNA from 1 species